CUUCCUCAUGGCGCUCGAGGAACAUGGAUUCACUCACUGCACUCUGAGGAGGAGGUAAAGAAGAUGAAGGAGGAGAAGGAGUUGCGGGCGGCGAUCAUGAUGGAGCAGAGUGUGGAGAGAGAGGGAGAGAUGUGGCGCUUUAACACAGGUCAGGGUCAACCUUACGCUCUGUCACCGAGAGAGCGAUAGAGCUCACUAUUGUAACAUCAACUCUCCAGAAGAUUCUCAGCCCUCCGGGUCGCGUUGGGGGCUGAGUGUGGGGUGAGGAGAAGGAGGAGG